rnacentral:tRNA from 1 species
UCUAAUAUGGCAGAUAAGUGCAAUGGAUUUAAGCCCCAUAUAUAAAGGGUAACCCUUUUGUUAGAA